AAGAGGCCAGGAAGGUUUCGCUGGAAAAUAAUUUCUUCAUCGCCUUGUAUACAGGUUAUAUCUCCUGAGCUGGAGCUUCAUGAUAAAGGCCGACUGCAGCUAAUUUCACUUUGGCUAAAUUUGUAAUGGGUAGCAUAGACCAGAUUAUUUAUGGCUACGUAGAGAGGGUGCCAGCCACGCCGCUACAGUCGACACCAGGUGCUGCCUUCUCGUUGUAUUUGUGGCGCCUGUUCGCCUGUUCGGCUGUUUCAAAGACCUGUCUUUACCGCACCUGCUGUGCUGCUUGCUUACCGAUUUAGCAGAGAAGUGCGAUGUACUGCCGAUACUCAUCUGUUACUCGUGCAUGUGUGUCGGUGGCUGCCCCAACAACCAGAAAAAGGGAACGCUGCGCAUACUUUAGCCCUGCAACACACACGGACACACGAGAAGCUAGUUUCUGUGGCGUGUAUUUGCUUGACGGAUUUCCUGCGGCGCCUGAUAACCACUAUUGUAUAGCUACUUUCAACGUAAAAGGCUUCAUGCCCGGAAAGUUUGCUGGGUGGGCAUUAUCUUUCCCACUGUAAAGUACGUGAUAGUGUAAGCCCUGUCUUAGUGUACUACCUCAAACCGCGGUAGCAUAGGACCGCAAACCACUAGCCAGCAAUCUCGAAUGGCAAUAUUGCUCUCUCGGUGAAAGUAUCCCUGUCAAAAGAACUAUCAAAAGAAUCCCCGUCAAAAGAACAAGCGCCAUUGUGCACCUGCCUUUGCACAAAUAUCUUAGAUAACCAAGAACUUUUCUUUCAGCUAUACAAUUUCAGCGCUUGCUUGUAGCAUGCAAAGGCCCAAUAAGUGCCUUUCGACACUUGCAUAUCGUAACAGUCUAUUUUGAUUCCUUUUGUAGGGUUUGAAAGAGAGGUUAUUCGCAAGAGGAGCGACACAGAGCGAGUCGGUGCCACCAAGAUGCCAAACACUAGUGACAAGGACAAAAACACUGCCCAGCUGGUGACAGGCAUAGCAGCUGGAGUAUUGCUUCCAGCAGCCGUGGUUGCUGGUCCCUUUGCACCGUUGGUGGUAACAGCUGGACUAGGACUGGCUGCCAUCGGAUGCACAGCAGGAGUCAUUACUCUUUCGUUGCUGCCAGACGAUAAAAAAGAAGAAACAGGCACAUCAAACAAUGAAACCCCUAAGGCGCCCGAAGGCAAAUGACGGACCUUGAUGACGGACCUUGAUGACGGACCUUGAUGACGGACCUUGAUGACGGACCUUGAUGACGGACCUUGAUGACGGACCUUGAUGACGGACCUUGAUGACGGGCCUUGAUGACGACGGGCCUUGAUGACGACGGGCCUUGAUGAUGACGGGCCUUGAUGACGACGGGCCUUGAUGACGACGGGCCUUGAUGAUGACGGGCCUUGAUGACGACGGGCCUUGAUGACGACGGGCCUUGAUGACGACGGGCCUUGAUGACGACGGGCCUUGAUGACGACGGGCCUUGAUGACGGACCACACAGACCACGCGGACUUGAAAUGACGGACCAUGCAGACGGACCUUCUAAGGGGCGGUCUGCGUGGCUAAUUGAAAAGUAAGCCGACAAGUGUAGAAGGGCCUAUUUGCAAUUUCUGGAAUUAUCUAACAGCUUUGAUGGCAUUUUCUAUGAAUAAAAAUGAGGUGUUUCGUACCACA